rnacentral:rRNA from 1 species
UACGAAGGGGGCUAGCGUUGUUCGGAAUCACUGGGCGUAAAGGGCGCGUAGGCGGCUUUAUAAGUCGGGGGUGAAAGCCUGUGGCUCAACCACAGAAUUGCCUUCGAUACUGUAGAGCUUGAGACCGGAAGAGGUAAGUGGAACUGCGAGUGUAGAGGUGAAAUUCGUAGAUAUUCGGAAGAACACCAGUGGCGAAGGCGACUCACUGGACACGUAUUGACGCUGAGGUGCGAAAGCGUGGGGAGCAAACAGG